AGGGCAGUAGUAAGGAUCUGUUUUUCAUUUAAUGGUCUUUCUCAAGGAACUUCUGAGAAAUCGGGUAACUCCUUUCUCCUGAGGGAAGAGACACGAGAGGAUGCCAAGCGAACAAGAGGCAGAGGUUGAGCCUCAAGGCUGCUCUAAAAUCAGCUGUUCUGUCUCUCGUCCCACAUGGCUUCUUGGUGAAUGGACCUCAGUUUCUUUGGGACUGCUUGAAAUUGCUGUAUUUUGAAAUGCUCCUGAGCUUAAAAUAUAUGAAAAAAUGAAAUACUAUCAAAAUGAAUAGGCUGUGGAUCCUAAAUGCAUGAACUCUGAGAAACUGGAAGAUUAAGUAAUAUUUAUUUGUGGAGGUAUGUGCCUUCUAAUUUUAAAUCUAUUUCUGUUUGUUCCACACUAGAGAACAUUGGAAAAUACCACCUGAAUAAAGCUUUUGCUUUUAGCAGCCCUGAAAAACUCAAAACUCUUGUUUUUUGUUACUAUAAUCUGGCUUCUCCUUUGAUUAAAGGCCAAAAGUUACAGAGAACAUGCUGAAUAAGAGGUA